UCGAAUCUUUGAACGCACAUUGCGCCCGCCAGUAUUCUGGCGGGCAUGCCUGUUCGAGCGUCAUU
rnacentral:rRNA from 1 species